GCAGCUCAGCGGUUAGAGCACCUGCUUUGCAUGCAGAAGGUCCAGGUUCAAUACCCAGCAGCUCCA